rnacentral:piRNA from 1 species
CUCUUUGAAACGCUAGGUCUUGAUGCUC